GCCGCGGUGGCGGAACGGAAUACGCGCAGCACUCAAAAUGCUGUGAGCCAAAAGCUCAUGUGGGUUCAAAUCCCACCCGCGGCA
rnacentral:tRNA from 1 species